AUGGUAGUUCUGUCUUCUUUGUUUAUCGUCACUUUUUUACCAGGUGUCCUGUCCGAGGUGCAGCUGCAGGAGUCGGGCCUAGGACUGGUGAAGCCCUCGCAGACCCUGUCCCUCACCUGCACAGUCUCUGGUGACUCCAUCACAACCAGUGGUUAUGACUGGAGCUGGAUCCGCCAGCCCUCAGGGAAGGGGCUGGAGUGGAUAGCAGCAAUCGGUAGUAGUGGUGGUACAGCUUAUAACCCAUCCCUCAAGAGCCGCACCUCCAUCACCAGAGACACGUCCAAGAACCAGUUUUUCCUGCAGCUGAGCUCUGUGACCGCCGAGGACACAGGCGUGUAUUACUGUGCCAGAGACACAGUGACAGGAAGUCAGCAGGAGCCCAGACACAAACCUCCCUUCAGGAUACAGGAGGGGACUGGGCUGCAGGGGGCGCACAAGGCCCACCCAGCUCCUGUGCUCCAUGGAGCAGGCAACACAGAGUGA